rnacentral:sRNA from 1 species
UACAGGAUAAAUUUACUGCCGUUGGAGU